rnacentral:rRNA from 1 species
CCUACGGGAGGCAGCAGUGGGGAAUAUUGCACAAUGGGCGAAACCCUGAUGCAGCGACGCCGCGUGAGUGAAGAAGUAAUUCGUUAUGGAAAGCUCUAUCAGCAGGGAAGAAAAUGACGGUACCUGAGUAAGAAGCCCCGGCUAACUACGUGCCAGCAGCCGCGGUAAUACGUAGGGGGCAAGCGUUAUCCGGAUUUACUGGGUGUAAAGGGAGCGUAGACGGCAGUGCAAGUCUGGAGUGAAAGGCGGGGGCUCAACCCCCGGACUGCUCUGGAAACUGUACGGCUGGAGUGCAGGAGAGGUAAGUGGAAUGCCUAGUGUAGCGGUGAAAUGCGUAGAUAUUAGGAGGAACACCAGUGGCGAAGGCGGCUUACUGGACUGCAACUGACGUUGAGGCUCGAAAGCGUGGGGAGCAAACAGGAUUAGAUACCCCAGUAGUC